rnacentral:rRNA from 1 species
GACGAACGCUGGCGGCGUGCUUAACACAUGCAAGUCGAACGGAAAGGCCCUGCUUUUGUGGGGUGCUCGAGUGGCGAACGGGUGAGUAACACGUGAGUAGCCUGCCCUUGACUUUGGGAUAACUUCAGGAAACUGGGGCUAAUACCGGAUAGGAGCUCCUGCUGCAUGGUGGGGGUUGGAAAGUUUCGGCGGUUGGGGAUGGACUCGCGGCUUAUCAGCUUGUUGGUGGGGUAGUGGCUUACCAAGGCUUUGACGGGUAGCCGGCCUGAGAGGGUGACCGGCCACAUUGGGACUGAGAUACGGCCCAGACUCCUACGGGAGGCAGCAGUGGGGAAUAUUGCACAAUGGGCGGAAGCCUGAUGCAGCAACGCCGCGUGCGGGAUGACGGCCUUCGGGUUGUAAACCGCUUUCGCCUGUGACGAAGCGUGAGUGACGGUAAUGGGUAAAGAAGCACCGGCUAACUACGUGC